rnacentral:rRNA from 1 species
AACGCGAAGAACCUUACCUGGGCUCGAACGGCUUUGGAUCAUCCUUGGAAACAGGGAUUUCCCGCAAGGGACCGGAGUCGAGGUGCUGCAUGGCUGUCGUCAGCUCGUGUCGUGAGAUGUUGGGUUAAGUCCCGCAACGAGCGCAACCCUUGUCCUGUGUUGCUAAUUCGCAAGAAUGCACUCUCAGGAGACCGCCAGCGAUAAGUUGGAGGAAGGUGGGGAUGACGUCAAGUCAUCAUGGCCUUUAUGUCCAGGGCUACACACGUGCUACAAUGGGCGGUACAAAGCGCUGCUAACCCGCGAGGGGGAGCUAAUCGCAAAAAACCGCUCUCAGUUCGGAUCGCAGGCUGCAACUCGCCUGCGUGAAGCUGGAAUCGCUAGUAAUGGCAUAUCAGAACGAUGCCGUGAAUACGUUCCCGGGCCUUGUACACACCGCUACAGU